rnacentral:lncRNA from 10 species
AAAACAGGCCCCCACACAGGAGGAGAAUGACACAAUGAACCCACAUUUCAAGCUGGUUUCCAAGUGUUUUUGGAGUCUCGGCUUUUGACAGGUCCCAAUGCUACUGUCAAGAGGAGGUAUGGCCAGAUACUCAAAUUUGCUCCAGACUUUGCUGUAUAUCAGAUGAUCCCAUGAUGCUUGCAGCCUGGAACAGUUCCUUAUAAAGGGAGAGAGGGGACAAAAUCACUUAUGCUGAAGCAACUUUAAGCAAUACACUGAAGAUUUCAAGGGAAGUCAGAGACUGCAUCAGAGAAAAACUGGCAUACAAAAGAUUCUGCUGAGUACUGAAGGCAAAAUUGGACUGAGCCAGAUGAAAGAGUAUUAUAAUAAUAAGAGUGGUCCCAGCAGAGAAGACAACACUUGAGGAAGAAGAAAGUAUGACUGAUAAUAUGCUCACGGCCCUGCAAAGUCUCACUUUGUCUCCCAGGCUGGAGUGCAGUGGAGUGAUCUUGGCUCACUGAAAUCUCCACCUCCUGGGUUCAAGUGAUUCUCCUGCCUCAGACUCCUGAGUAGCUGAGACUACAGGUGCCCACCACCAUGCUCAGAUGAACAAUUGAAGUUUUUAGUUUAACUUGUCCAGGAUUACGUAGCUACAUGACCAAGAUGGAUUCAAAACCUGGUCUUAGGAUGCCAAGGCCAAUGGCUUUCUUUAUUUCAAGCUGACAUUUGGGUCCAUUUGUAAGUAGAUUUAGAGCUAAAA